AAAUGUGGGAUGGGAAUGACGGAGGUCACUGCAUUUUCAAAAAGAGUGCAAAGACUUUGGAGUACAGCCAAAAUGCCAGGAACAAAAGGUAAUAAAUCGGACAAGAAAUCAGCCACCAAGCAGCCUCAGAGUCCUAAGGAGCAACCGAAGAAAGUUGAUCAGAAAGGAGAUGACAACAAAAAGCAAGGAGGACAGCCGAAGGGAGAGAAGCAAUAACUUCCAAGCCUUUGUGAAGAUGGCUCUAGAGACACUUCUGGGUUCCUGUCGCCGUAAACAUGGUGGCCCCCGGGGAAGGCAAGGCUGAGAUCACUAAACCACACCCCUCCCCACCCACCAUCCCACCCUUCUAGCCAAUCAAUGGCGGCUCAUCUCGUCUUGUCAUCAUGGAGAUGACCUGAAGCCUCCGGUCAGUGUCUACCUCAGUGUCUGCCAGAUCCAAACGUCUUCCAUCUUCCCCCUCCUGCUGUCUUCACCUAUUGGCUACUCAGGAUUAUGACAUGCUGCUGAGGAGCUUCUUUGAUGAGCCAAUGACAUGAGAUUUUGCUCACAACCCUCUUCCAGCCCCACCCCUUUAUAACUGACUCCGCCCCUUUUCAGUGACUAUCUUAUGGUCCUUACCUAUCUUGUAAAUAAACAAAAUAGAUAAAUGAAUAAAGACAAUAAUAUAUUGGA